CAGUAGCCGCGGUAAUACAGAGGGUGCAAGCGUUAAUCGGAAUUACUGAGCGUAAAGCGCACGCAGGCGGUUUGUUAAGUCAGAUGUGAAAUCCCCGAGCUUAACUUGGGAACUGCAUUUGAAACUGGCAAGCUAGAGUCUUGUAGAGGGGGGUAGAAUUCCAGGUGUAGCGGUGAAAUGCGUAGAGAUCUGGAGGAAUACCGGUGGCGAAGGCGGCCCCCUGGACAAAGACUGACGCUCAGGUGCGAAAGCGUGGGGAGCAAACAGGAUUAGAUACCCCUGUAGUCCCUGUCUCUUAUAC
rnacentral:rRNA from 1 species